ensembl:lncRNA
GUGGAAAGGUAGGUCUACUCUGUCUGGGGUGGAAAGGUAGGUCUACUCUGUCUGGGGUGGAAAGGUAGGUCUACUCUGUCUGGGGUGGAAAGGUAGGUCCUACUCUGUCUGGGAUGGAAAGGUAGGUCUACUCUGUCUGGGGUGGAAAGGUAGGUCUACUCUGUCUGGGGUGGAAAGGUAGGCCUACUCUGUCUGGGGUGGAAAGGUAGGUCUACUCUGUCUGGGGUGGAAAGGUAGGUCUACUCUGUCUGGGGUGGAAAGGUAGGUCCUACUCUGUCUGGGGUGGAAAGGUAGGUCUACUCUGUCUGGGGUGGAAAGGUAGGUCUACUCUGUCUGGGGUGGAAAGGUAGGCCCUACUCUGUCUGGGGUGGAAAGGUAGGCCCUACUCUGUCUGGGGUGGAAAGGUAGGCCCUACUCUGUCUGGGGUGGAAAGGUAGGCCC